rnacentral:lncRNA from 1 species
GCCGGAGAUGGUGUGGCUGUUCCCGAGCCCAUUUCGUCCCAAAAACCUUGCAAAAACACGAAUUUUAACUUCAAUUUCACAUAUAUGCUUCAAAUUUCACGCAUGCAUCAACGAUUCAACAUAUGAUGUCGGUUUAGGGCUUAGGGUUUCAAUGGAAUCUCACCUGAAAAAUCGAUGACUGGGCCAACUCCUUUCUCAGCGGCGCACCACCAGAGACGACUGAGCCAAGUCCGACUUCGCCAGAGCCACGAUCAACGGCAGCGAAGGAUCGAGAGAGUGGGCGAAGGAUCGAGAGAGUGGGAGAAGGGGGAGAUCUGUGUGUGUGUGGGUCGAAUGGAGAAGGGGGAGAAGAGAGGUCAGGCCUCAGAGAAGAAGACCCCGGAGGCCCGGGAAACAACCGUCAUCGCCAACACGCGCAUCGACUGGAAGGAGACCCCGGAGGCCCACAUCUUCAAGGCGGACCUCCCGGGGAUCAAAAAGGAGGAGGUGAAAGUGGAGGUGGAGGACGGGAGGGUCCUGCAUAUCAGCGGCGAGAGGAGCAGGGAGCAGGAGGAGAAGACGAAGAACUGGAGAAGGGAGAAGCUCAGAAGUUCUAGAGAGAAGGAAGGGAGAGAAGAGAAAGACAGAAGUUCUAGAGAGAGAAGGAUCCAGAGUGAGACUCUGUGGGCGUGCGUGGUUUUGGAUUUUGGGGGGGGGGGGUUUGUCUGUGUGACACACUGACUCACUGACUCUCUCUUCUGCGUGUGAUGUGUGGUGGUGUGAGAAAAAAAAAAGAAUCCAAUGCAAUGAUCCAAUCCAAAUAAUUCAAAAUCAAAUA